rnacentral:rRNA from 1 species
AACGAACGCUGGCGGCAUGCCUAACACAUGCAAGUCGAACGAGACCUUCGGGUCUAGUGGCGCAUGGGUGCGUCACGCGUGGGAACCUGCCCUUAGGUUCGGAAUAACUCCCGGAAAGGGGUGCUAAUACCGGAUAUUGUCCUCAGACCAAAGAUUUAUCGCAUUUGGAUGGGCCCGCGUUGGUUUAGCUAGUUGGUAGGGUAAAAGCCUACCAAGGCGACGAUCCAUAGCUGGUCUGAGAGGAUGAUCAGCUACACUGGGACUGAGACACGGCCCAGACUCAUACGGGAGGCAGCAGGGGGGAAUAUUGGACAAUGGGCGAAAGCCUGAUGAAGCAACGCCGCGUGAGUGAUGAAGGCCUUAGGGUUGUAAAGCUCUUUUACCCGGGAUGAUAAUGACAGUACCGGGAGAAUAAGCUCCGGCUAACUCCGUG